GAUGAACGCUGGCGGCGUGCCUAAUACAUGCAAGUCGAGCGAACAGACGAGGAGCUUGCUCCUCUGACGUUAGCGGCGGACGGGUGAGUAACACGUGGAUAACCUACCUAUAAGACUGGGAUAACUUCGGGAAACCGGAGCUAAUACCGGAUAAUAUAUUGAACCGCAUGGUUCAAUAGUGAAAGACGGUUUUGCUGUCACUUAUAGAUGGAUCCGCGCCGCAUUAGCUAGUUGGUAAGGUAACGGCUUACCAAGGCAACGAUGCGUAGCCGACCUGAGAGGGUGAUCGGCCACACUGGAACUGAGACACGGUCCAGACUCCUACGGGAGGCAGCAGUAGGGAAUCUUCCGCGAUGGGCGAAAGCUUGACGGAGCAAAGCCGCGUGAGUGAUGAAGGUCUUCGGAUCGUAAAACUCUGUUAUUAGGGAAGAACAAAUGUGUAAGUAACUAUGCACGUCUUGACGGUACCUAAUCAGAAAGCCACGGCUAACUACGUG
rnacentral:rRNA from 1 species